rnacentral:rRNA from 1 species
CCUACGGGUGGCAGCAGUGAGGAAUAUUGGUCAAUGGUCGCAAGCCUGAACCAGCCACGCCGCGUGAGGGAAGACGGUUCUAUGUAUCGUAAACCUCUUUUGUCAGGGAGCAAAACCUGGGACGCGUCCCCGUCUGCGUGUACCCUACGAAAAAGCAUCGGCUAACUCCGUGCCAGCAGCCGCGGUAAUACGGAGGAUUCGAGCGUUAUCCGGAUUUAUGGGGUUAAACGGGUGCGCGGGCGGAAGUUAAAGUCAGCGGUAAAAUCGUGGGGCUCAACCCCAUCCAGCCGUUGAAAAUGGGGAGCUAGAGUGAGCGAGAGGUAGGCGGAAUGCGUGGUGUAGCGGUGAAAUGCAUAGAUAUCACGCAGAACACCGAUUGCGAAGGCAGCAUACCGGGGCACAACUGACGCUGAGGCACGAAAGCGUGGGUAUCGAACAGGAUUAGAUACCCCAGUAGUC